rnacentral:rRNA from 1 species
GAAAGUAAGCAAGGGCAGACGGUGGAUGCCUUGGCUCUCGGAGGCGACGAAGGACGUGAUAAGCUGCGAAAAGCUCGGGGGAGGCGCAAAUAGCCGUUGAUCCCGGGAUAUCCGAAUGGGGCAACCCGGCAGGCUGAAGGCCUGCCAUCCCGUAAGGGAGGCGAACGUGGGGAACUGAAACAUCUAAGUACCCAUAGGAGGAGAAAAUAAACAAUGAUUCCGUAAGUAGUGGCGAGCGAACACGGAAGAGCCCAAACCCGUGGCGUCUAGGCGACACGGGGGUUGUAGGACCACGACGUGGCAAGAUAGAGUCAAGUGGAACGCCUUGGAAAAGGCGGUCAUAGAGGGUGAAAACCCCGUACACGACUGACGAUUGAAGCCUAGUGGUAUCCUGAGUAGCGCGGGGCACGAGAAAUCUUGCGUGAAACUGCGGGGCCCAUCCCGUAAGGCUAAAUACUCCCGAGAGACCGAUAGCGAACCAGUACCGUGAGGGAAAGGUGAAAAGAACCCCGAGCAGGGGAGUGAAAUAGACCCUGAACCCGUCUGCCUACAAGCGGUCGGAGCAUCGUCAAGAUGUGACGGCGUGCCUUUUGCAUAAUGAACCUACGAGUUACCUUCCCCGGCAAGGUUAAGUACCUAAGGUACGGAGCCGAAGCGAAAGCGAGUCUGAAGAGGGCGGCCAGUCGGGGGGGGUAGACGCGAAACCGAGUGAUCUACCCUUGGCCAGGUUGAAGGUUGGGUAACACCAACUGGAGGACCGGAUGGGUAAGCGUUGAAAAGCUUUCCAAUGAGCUGAGGGUAGGGGUGAAAGGCUAAUCAAACUCGGAGAUAGCUCGUACUCCCCGAAAUGCAUUUAGGUGCAGCCUCUUUAUAGUAUAUCGUGAGGUAGAGCGACUGAUUGGAUGCGAGGGCUUCACCGCCUAUCAAGUCCAGAUAAACUCCGAAUGCGCGAUAUAUAUUUAAAGGGAGUGAGGGCGCGGGUGCUAAGGUCCGUGUCCGAGAGGAGAAGAAUCCAGACCACCGGCUAAGGCCCCCAAAUGAUCGUUGAGUUGAACUAACGAGGUCGGAUCGCAGAGACAGCUAGGAUGUUGGCUUGGAAGCAGCCAUUCAUUUAAAGAGUGCGUAACAGCUCACUAGUCGAGCGAUCUGGCGUGGAUAAUAAUCGGGCAUAAACGAUCUGCCGAAGCCGUGGAUGUCGUAAGACAUGGUAGGGGAGCAUUCCAUGCCGCGUCGAAGAUGAGGGAUGACCCUUGUUGGAGCGCAUGGAAAAGCAAAUGUAGGUAUGAGUAACGAUAAGGGGGGCGAGAAACCCCCCCGCCGAAAGACCAAGGUUUCCUGAUCAACGCUAAUCGGAUCAGGGUGAGUCGGGACCUAAGGCUAAGCCGAACGGCGACGCCGAUGGAAGAAUGGGUUAAUAUUCCCAUACUGCCUCAUGGAGUGACGUGGAGACGGAGAAGUGACAGUCCUGCCGGCUGACGGAAUAGCCGGUUGAAGGGUGUAGAUAUUGAUUCCCGUAGGCAAAUCCGCGGGGAGAGUCGAACCUGACAGUAUACCGAGUACUUGUACGAGGUAAUAUGGACGUAACCAUGCUCCCAAGAAAAUCCGCUAAACUUAUCCAUGCGGCACCCGUACCGUAAACGGACACACGUGGUCGGGUUGAGAAUACUGAGGCGCUCGAGUGAUUCACGGUUAAGGAACUAGGCAAAUUGACCCUGUAACUUCGGGAUAAAGGGUCCUCGUCGUAAGGCGAGGCGCAGAGAAUAGGUCCAGGCAACUGUUUAACAAAAACACAUGGCUGUGCUAAAUGGAAACAUGACGUAUACAGCCUGACACCUGCCCGGUGCUGGAAGGUUAAGAGGAGAUGUCAUCGCGAGAGAAGCGUUGAAUUGAAGCCCCAGUAAACGGCGGCCGUAACUAUAACGGUCCUAAGGUAGCGAAAUUCCUUGUCGGGUAAGUUCCGACCU